CCCCCCCUUUCUUUCCUUUCC
rnacentral:misc_RNA from 1 species